rnacentral:rRNA from 1 species
UUGCAGGUUCAAAAUCCUCACAGUAUCAAGUACAGUGGUACAAUUCAAGGGCUUAAGUAUAUAUGGAGAACCGAAGGCCUUCGUAGACUGUUUAAGGGCAAUGGAAUAAACUGUGCAAGGAUCGUCCCAAAUUCCGCUGUGAAAUUCUUCAGCUAUGAGCAAGCAUCAAGGUGUGUUCUUGAUUGCAAUUACUCUUGCCUUACAACAGAGAAUGCUCAGCCUAGUCCACUCUUGCGCCUUGGAGCUGGAGCCACAGCUGGCAUCGUAGCCAUGUCUGCUGCUUAUCCCAUGGAUAUGGUUAGGGGUAGGAUUACUGUUCAGGCAGAGAAGUCUCCCCGUGGUAUGUUUCAUGCAUUGGACACAGUGUACUGUGAAGAAGGCUUUCAGGCUUUAUACAGAGGGAGGCUUCCGUCAUUGAUUGGAGCUGUCCCUUAUGUUGGACUUAACUUUGAUGUAUACGAUUCUCUGAAGGACUGGCUCCUCUGGACAAAUGCGCUUGCAAAGUACAACGGGUUUCACAUAGUAACAAGGCUUGGAUGCGGAGCUGUGGCUGGAACCAUAGGGAAGACUGGCAUACCCUCUUUGAUGCUGUCAGGAAGAAUGCAGAUGGUCGGCUGGAAUCACACUGCUUCUGUUGUUACUGGAGAAGGCAAAGAGGCACUCCAGUACAAUGGUAUGACUGAUGCAUUCAGGACUGUUGGCCACGAAGGAUUUGGUGCUCUGUUCAAGGGUCUUGGGCCCAACUCAGUGAAGCUGGUGCAUUCCAUAGCUGCAUUCGUCACGUACGAGGAUGUUCUUGUAGUAGAAGUGAGGAUAGACUAG